rnacentral:rRNA from 1 species
UGCGUAGGCGGCGCGGUAAGUCGGGUGUGAAAUCUCGGAGCUUAACUCCGAAACUGCAUUCGAUACUGCCGUGCUUGAGGACUGGAGAGGAGACUGGAAUUUACGGUGUAGCGGUGAAAUGCGUAGAUAUCGUAAGGAAGACCAGUGGCGAAGGCGGGUCUCUGGAUAGUUCCUGACGCUGAGGCACGAAGGCCAGGGAGCAAACGG